rnacentral:rRNA from 1 species
AUGCUCUGGGAGUACUUCAAGGUCCUGUGGGGCGUGAAGACGGGGGGAGAGACGAUGGGACAUCCGGCCACACGUGUCGUCCCCGCCAGCGUCGGGCCCUCCCCAAAUCGGUACCCUUUCUUCGUUGACUACUUCUCCUGUGGUCUCUGUCCCCCUUUCUCUGAUUUCUUCAAGGAUAUCAUGUACACCUUCGGCUUCCGCCUCCUAGACUUCACCCCAAAUGUCGUGGCGUGUAUGGCCCUUUUCGCACACCUUUGCGAGGGCUUCGUCGGGGUGCAUCCCAGCACGGCGCUCUUCCGCCAUUAUUUCUCCCCUCGGAUCCAAAAGGGAGGCGCCAUCACCGGCAGCGUCACUUGGAUCCCAAGGGACAAAGGAGCAUACCCGGACGGUGCCAUGAAGGAAAGGUGGGAAGAGUGGCGGGGCCGGUGGUGCUUUAUCGAGGAGGAGAAACCGCCGGCGUUCUAUGAGGUCCGUCAGGUGGCGCCGGUCCGUGGAAAGGACUGGGGCGACGUCGACGUCAACGAUGAGAAGCUCACGAUCGCCACCACCAGGAUCCUCAGGCUUACCCGGGCCGGGCUCACCCUUGAGAUGAUCGGCGCGGACUUCAUCCGCCUCCAGAUUGCCCCUCUGCACGACAAGGGGAGGCCAGCCUGGCUUUUUGUGAAUGCUGCUGAUAUCAUGAGCCUCCGCCCUGGCCUCGACCAUAAUCUGACAGUGGUGAGGCAUGCUCAUCUCUGCUAG